GACGUAGGGCGCGAGCGUUGUCCGGAUUUAUUGGGCGUAAAGAGCUCGUAGGCGGCUUGUCGCGUCGAUUGUGAAAACCCGCGGCUCAACCGCGGGCUUGCAGCCGAUACUGGUGUGGCUUGAGUUCGGUAGGGGAGCACGGAAUUCCUGGUGUAGCGGUGAAAUGCGCAGAUAUCAGGAGGAACACCGGUGGCGAAGGCGGUGCUCUGGGCCGAAACUGACGCUGAGGAAGCGAAAGCGUGGGUAGCAAACAGG
rnacentral:rRNA from 1 species